AUUGAACGCUGGCGGCAGGCCUAACACAUGCAAGUCGAGCGGUAGCACAGAGAGCUUGCUCUCGGGUGACGAGCGGCGGACGGGUGAGUAAUGUCUGGGAAACUGCCUGAUGGAGGGGGAUAACUACUGGAAACGGUAGCUAAUACCGCAUAACGUCGCAAGACCAAAGUGGGGGACCUUCGGGCCUCAUGCCAUCAGAUGUGCCCAGAUGGGAUUAGCUAGUAGGUGGGGUAACGGCUCACCUAGGCGACGAUCCCUAGCUGGUCUGAGAGGAUGACCAGCCACACUGGAACUGAGACACGGUCCAGACCCCUACGGGAGGCAGCAGUGGGGAAUAUUGCACAAUGGGCGCAAGCCUGAUGCAGCCAUGCCGCGUGUGUGAAGAAGGCCUUCGGGUUGUAAAGCACUUUCAGCGGGGAAGAAGGCGGUGAGGUUAAUAACCUUGUCGAUUGACGUUACCCGCAGAAGAAGCACCGGCUAACUCCGUGCCAGCAGCCGCGGUAAUACGGAGGGUGCAAGCGUUAAUCGGAAUUACUGGGCGUAAAGCGCACGCAGGCGGUCUGUCAAGUCGGAUGUGAAAUCCCCGGGCUCAACCUGGGAACUGCAUUCGAAACUGGCAGGCUAGAGUCUUGUAGAGGGGGGUAGAAUUCCAGGUGUAGCGGUGAAAUGCGUAGAGAUCUGGAGGAAUACCGGUGGCGAAGGCGGCCCCCUGGACAAAGACUGACGCUCAGGUGCGAAAGCGUGGGGAGCAAACAGGAUUAGAUACCCUGGUAGUCCACGCCGUAAACGAUGUCGAUUUGGAGGUUGUGCCCUUGAGGCGUGGCUUCCGGAGCUAACGCGUUAAAUCGACCGCCUGGGGAGUACGGCCGCAAGGUUAAAACUCAAAUGAAUUGACGGGGGCCCGCACAAGCGGUGGAGCAUGUGGUUUAAUUCGAUGCAACGCGAAGAACCUUACCUGGUCUUGACAUCCACAGGACUUUCCAGAGAUGGAUUGGUGCCUUCGGGAACUGUGAGACAGGUGCUGCAUGGCUGUCGUCAGCUCGUGUUGUGAAAUGUUGGGUUAAGUCCCGCAACGAGCGCAACCCUUAUCCUUUGUUGCCAGCGGUUAGGCCGGGAACUCAAAGGAGACUGCCAGUGAUAAACGGGAGGAAGGUGGGGAUGACGUCAAGUCAUCAUGGCCCUUACGACCAGGGCUACACACGUGCUACAAUGGCAUAUACAAAGAGAAGCGACCUCGCGAGAGCAAGCGGACCUCAUAAAGUAUGUCGUAGUCCGGAUUGGAGUCUGCAACUCGACUCCAUGAAGUCGGAAUCGCUAGUAAUCGUAGAUCAGAAUGCUACGGUGAAUACGUUCCCGGGCCU
rnacentral:rRNA from 1 species